CAGAUUCAUUUCUUGGUUUCUUGGUUGGGUCUUAGGCUCAGUGCCCAGGAGAGACGCUACCCAAGGACAAGGAUGAAGGAAGGCAGUGUUGUCAUUGGAAGAACGUGCUUUGUAAUCACCUACAGAUCGCAACUGCAGACACGACACUUAUGCUCUGUUAAAGAGAUGGCUCCAAUUUAUCUGUCAACUUUACUGGAAGACGAAAAAAAGUAAUGAUGGUGAGUGAAAUCAACACAUCCCCAUUUUUAGGGGGUUAACCAAAGAUGAGAGACAGAGCAUCGCUCAUCAAAGGAGUAGAACACAUCAUUUUGGAGCCACCGACAUGGAGCAGGUCAAUGGCCAGCUGUCCACCCGAUGAUGACAAUACGGUUUCAGGACAGAAGAGUAACUCGGACUCCAGAGAGAAAUAGCAGUGGGGAGACGGGGAUAGAAGUGAGAACCUGGCAAGUGACCAGAGCGGUGGUGAGCUGAUUCGUCUGGAAGGCAGUGAGUCUUAGCACUGCUCUGUGAGCAGGACAUGAAUGACUCAGAGGGGACUGGGCCAGGGGCCUGUGGAAGCCACAGUGGGGGCUGCCCUGGACCCUUCCCUCUUCUCUCCUGGCCUGGCUCUAAAGCCAUGGCCUGGGCAUUAGCCUCUCAAAUACUGAG